AGGACGAACGCUGGCGGCGUGCCUAACACAUGCAAGUCGAACGGAGCCCGCAAGGGUUCAGUGGCGAACGGGUGCGUAACACGUGAGGAACUUGUCCAUCGGCGGGGGAUAGCCGGCCCAACGGCCGGGUAAUACCGCGUACGCCGUCCGGAGCGCAUGCUCUGGCCGGGAAAGCAGCAAUGCACCGAUGGAGAGCCUCGCGGCCUAUCAGCUAGUUGGUGGGGUAAUGGCCUACCAAGGCGACGACGGGUAGCUGGUCUGAGAGGAUGACCAGCCACAUUGGGACUGAGACACGGCCCAGACUCCUACGGGAGGCAGCAGUGGGGAAUAUUGCGCAAUGGGCGAAAGCCUGACGCAGCGACGCCGCGUGUGGGAUGACGGCCUUCGGGUUGUAAACCACGUGUCGCGAGGGACGAAGAUCUGACGGUACCUCGAAAGGAAGCACCGGCUAACUCUGCGCCAGCAGCCGC
rnacentral:rRNA from 1 species